CAGUAGCCGCGGUAAUACGUAGGGUGCAAGCGUUAAUCGGAAUUACUGGGCGUAAAGCGUGCGCAGGCGGUUAUAUAAGACAGAUGUGAAAUCCCCGGGCUCAACCUGGGAACUGCAUUUGUGACUGUAUAGCUAGAGUACGGCAGAGGGGGAUGGAAUUCCGCGUGUAGCAGUGAAAUGCGUAGAUAUGCGGAGGAACACCGAUGGCGAUGGCAAUCCCCUGGGCCUGUACUGACGCUCAUGCACGAAAGCGUGGGGAGCAAACAGGAUUAGAUACCCCCGUAGUCCCUGUCUCUUAUAC
rnacentral:rRNA from 1 species